rnacentral:rRNA from 1 species
AUGGAGACCUCCCUGCCCUGCGGCUGCGCGGCGCCGACUCCACCUCCGGGCAGCAGCUCGGCCUCCGCAUCCACACCAAGCAGUAGGUGCCCCUCGCCUACAACACACUCCUACAGCUCGCAAUCUUGCCACCCCAUCUCUUCUACUUCUACUGAUCCCCGUGCCCGGCGGCGCGGUCCACAUACCCUCCUAUCCAUCCGACGGCAGUGCUCCUGCUCAUGGAGAUGGAAGAUGACCGGCCAGGCAGCGACCGUCUCUUAUGCUCAAGCCCGAUGCACAGAUCCGAGUUGGAAAUCUUGGUAUGUGAUGGAAUAA